rnacentral:rRNA from 1 species
GACGAACGCUGGCGGCGUGCUUAACACAUGCAAGUCGAACGGAAAGGCCCUGCUUUUGUGGGGUGCUCGAGUGGCGAACGGGUGUGUAACACGUGAGUAACCUGCCCUUGACUUUGGGAUAACUUCAGGAAACUGGGGCUAAUACCGGAUAGGAGCUCCUGCUGCAUGGUGGGGGUUGGAAAGUUUCGGCGGUUGGGGCUGGACUCGCGGCUUAUCAGCUUGUUGGUGGGGUAGUGGCUUACCAAGGCUUUGACGGGUAGCCGGCCUGAGAGGGGGACCGGCCACAUUGGGACUGAGAUACGCCCCAGACGGCUACGGGAGGCAGCAGUGGGGAAUAUUGCACAAUGGGCGGAAGCCUGAUGCAGCAACGCCGCGUGCGGGAUGACGGCCUUCGGGUUGUAAACCGCUUUCGCCUGUGACGAAGCGUGAGUGACGGUAAUUGGUAAAGAAGCACCGGCUAACUACGUG